GAAUUUAGUCUAUGGCGAUCAAGUGUCGAACUAUACCUUCUGUAUGCAAAGAUUAAUCUCUACCACUAGGACUGCAAAAUGUGCAGAAGAUAACAAUAGGCAGGGUCAACUUCGGAGGCCAACUUGCCGCAUGCUACUUGCAUUUUGGAUCUGUGAUAUGCAACCUUUGACUUGUAUGCGUAUCUAAUCAUCUAUGCUUUCAAUGCAAUUCCAGUUUUUUAGUUUCGUCAACCCUGUAGGAAACUCAGAACUGAGAUCUGAAUGAAUGUGGUAUGUGUCGAAUUAAUUAGUCUUGCGAUCAUGGUUAGGAGUAAAUCUAUUUACAGUGAACUGAAUUAUGAUCCUCUCACUGAGUAACUGGUACCGUUUGGUAUUUUCAAAGUUUUUUUCUACCGGUUGACGAGGAAUUUC
rnacentral:lncRNA from 1 species